GUAGGUGGCAAGCGUUGUCCGGAAUUAUUGGGCGUAAAGCGCGCGCAGGCGGUUCUUUAAGUCUGAUGUGAAAGCCCACGGCUCAACCGUGGAGGGUCAUUUGAAACUGGAGAACUUGAGUACAGAAGAGGAAAGCGGAAUUCCACGUGUAGCGGUGAAAUGCGUAGAGAUGUGGAGGAACACCAGUGGCGAAGGCGGCUUUCUGGUCUGUAACUGACGCUGAGGCGCGAAAGCGUGGGGAGCAAACAGGGAUUAGAUACCCUGGUAGUCCACGCCGUAAACGAUGAGUGCUAAGUGUUAGGGGGUUUCCGCCCCCUUAGUGCUGCAGCUAACGCAUUAAGCACUCCGCCUGGGGAGUACGGCCGCAAGGCUG
rnacentral:rRNA from 1 species